AACGAACGCUGGCGGCAGGCCUAACACAUGCAAGUCGAACGAACCUUCGGGUGAGUGGCGCACGGGUGCGUAACGCGUGGGAAUACGCCCAUAGGUAAGGAAUAACUGCUGGAAACGGUAGCUAAUACCUUAUAAUAUCUUCGGAUCAAAGAUUCAUCGCCUAUGGAUUAGCCCGCGUUAGAUUAGAUAGUUGGUGAGGUAACGGCUCACCAAGUCGACGAUCUAUAGGGGGUCUGAGAGGAUGAUCCCCCACACUGGUACUGAGACACGGACCAG
rnacentral:rRNA from 1 species